ensembl:lincRNA
CCGGGCCAGAGCCGCCGGGCCUCCACACUAACCGAAGGUGCGGACCGGGCCCGCCAACGUGGCCCGGCAGGUUCCCCCGCAGACCUGGGGCAGGCCCGGCAGCCGCGAGCUCUGUGCGCGGGCGAGAUGUGCGGCCCUUGAGUGGGCUGAAUGGAGGACAGCUCGGGCCGGGGCCCCAGGCCAAUCAGGAGCGCCUCUCCAGAUACAAAGCAUCCCAAUCAGGCGGCGGCGCCCCGUUCCCACAUUCUUUGCCGUCACAAAUUGUCACCAUGGGGACCAUCACAAAAAAGACAGCUCCCAAAUGCAAUCAUUUCCCGGUCAAUUUCUACCCUCGGCCCUGCUCGGCGGCCUCCACGCCCCUCCUCCCCUUGACCUCGGUUCCCUGGUUUCUCGAGGGGGCUGUGUGUGUGCGAGUGUGUGUGCGUGUGUGUGAAUGUCCAGGGCCCAGAGGGGCCGGCCGGUGGAGACGGGCUUGCAAACCUCCCCCAAAGACUGCAGCUGCUAUGCUCCAGUGCAGACAGACAAUCGGACAGGUUGGUGAUGCACCCGGAGACAAGCUUCAAACCUCCGAUGCUGGGCCCAAGUUGGUCAACUCUGUCCCCUCGGCCUUCUUGGAGGCCCUGUGCAAACAUCCUCUCCUCCAGGAAGCCUCUCCACCAACUCCUGGCAUUACUAAUGACCCCCUCUCCCGUGCCUAGAGACAAAGAUGAGGUCCAACCUCCUUAGCCACAGACAGAAGGCCCUUAGUUAUCUGGCGCCCCUGGAAGGCAUUAAUCCUGUGAACCGGAAACACCUUUCCAUCCAGCCAGGUGAGCCCCAGGAGAGCAGGGAGCUGGGCCGCCGAGUCUCUGGUGUCUUCAGUCUCACCACAGAGCAAGCCUCUGGGAGAUGCUCCAGGUUGCUGCGGUUGUACUUGGUGGUGAAUCCGCCACAUCCCUUCAGUUGGCUGGACGCCUGGGGGCGGCAGGCCCCUUCCCCUCCCCGCCCAGCGGUGGCUGCUGUGCUCUCACUUCCAGCUCUGAGCUCCUCUGACACCUGAUGGUAGGAGGCAGAAUCUGCUUGAUCCCAAUACAGGACGUGUCCUAAGUCACGUGCUCGUCCCAGGGGCCACCCUCACUCCCCUGAACAGAGAGGGAAACACAGGUGCCCUCCGGCCAGGAAACACACCCACAUCCCACCGUCAGCUGCUGCAGGUGAGGUCCGUGCUCUGGGGACCAUGGUGAGAUGCUCUGUGACGGCUGUCAGUCCCCAGCCUGACCCUCCCAGGGCCUUUGCCAGCCCUGCCCUCCCCCGGAGAGCGUGGCCCGACCAGCCAGGCUGCACGGGGCCCGCCAGCGCUCCGUGGCUGGACGCAGACAUCACAGGAUGGUUUAUGUAACCCCUUAUAUAACGGCAGCUUCCAUCAAAGCUGCCCGCGGCUGGUGUCACUUGUAAUCAGAGUGGACGCUGGGAUGAGAGCAACCAGCUGAAGUGCCUCUGCCCAGGCAGCCACACCUCCCAGCAGGGUUGUGCCUGCAGAGCCACUGGAGAUGACACAGCCUGGCCAGUCCCCGCAACUGUCUGAGUGUUCGUGUGCCCUGCCGGAAGUGAUUUUGGCCACACUGUUCUCAGCUGACUUCGAGCUGGCUUUGGAGUAAGAUCAUUCACCUCUGCCCCUGCCUGGCUGUGUGAUCUUGGGCCCAGUCACUCACCUUCUCUGGGCCUCAGUUCCUGCUAGAAGACAUCAUUGAUUCUCAGCCUCCAAGUUGCAAGAUUUAUGUGGGGCUAGUGUGUCAUAAGUCAGUGUAACACAUAAAAGUCUCAGAAUUGGCAAAUGAUUUCUCCUGAUAGAAACCGGGGUGGCAGAGUCACUCUCCUAACAUCAGGUAACCUUACUGUAUCUGAUGAGGAGUUCAAGGACCAAAGCCCCCAGGAAGACAGGCGGCUCCGUGGGUUUGCUCAUCCCCCAGGGCCUUAGGGGGCUUCCAGGACAGGCUUCCAGGACAGGCUUCCGUGUGGCAGACGUGGCUGGGGGCUGUCCUCCCCGGCUACUCCUGAGCUCAGAGGAAGCACCCAUUUUUCAUAAGUAAGAUGGUGGCUGUGGGGCUUUUGGGGUGCCUUUAAUUAGGUCUUUACCAUGCACGGGGGUGAAUUUCGUCAGAUGAUUUUUCUGCCUCCACU